AUGGGCUCAUUUUUUUUGCUCUUCCUUUCCAGGAGUAAUGGAGUUCAGACUGCCAGCAAACCCCAGGGAUCAGCUGUGACCAAAGAGCAAGUAAAGGAAGCGUCGAUGCUGAGCAUCAGGGGAGCUGCCGAGCCCCCAGGACUGCCAGAGCUGCCUCCAUCCCCUUCUGCAGCACACGGGGCCUGUCCUUGCUCAGGUGGAGGGCGAGAGGCUGUGGGGACUCAGCGGUGCCUCCCAGGUGUGCCCGGUGCAUGCUGCUGCAGUCCCUGCUGCCUCGCUGUAUCUAAAUGUGCUUCUGCAAUAAAGAUAAAUCCUCAGCUUCAUGUCACUGUUCUUCACUCAGCCUCAGGAGAGGGACACAACAGUCCCUGCUCUGGCUCUGCACCACGUGCUCCUUAGGCAAUGAGCACCCUGAGGUGCAGCAGCUGCUGUAAAUGCCUGGCGAAGAUGUUGGACCCAAGGAGGAAGAGUGUGGUCUGGGGUUUUGAGAGAAGGGGUCAGGGGUCAAUUCUCUCCUGCUCUUUAUGAGGUCUUGGGCCAAUCACUUCACUGCCCUAUCAGCCCUUUUCUCCUACCUGUAAUACGAACAUUAAACAAUACUUACCUACCUCAGAGGGUUGUUUGAGAUUUGUUUGGUUUACAUUUGGAAGCCUACAGAGGCAAUUUUGUUGUAAAGCUCCCUGUGUCUUGGGCUGGCAGUUUAGAUGAUGCACUAAGUGUCCUCUUCCAGGGUUCUCAUGUGAGGUGCUGGGAAAUCCAGCCCUCACUUUGGAACAAUGCUGGGAAGUAGAUACAUGUUGAGUGGUCAUGUUAGGAGAUGUGCUGAGCCCAGAAAGGUCUCUGGGAUCUGGAGGUGUGAAUUUGGCCAGUAUUUCUUGCUAUGAGAGGGCAGAAGCACUGAUGGCACCCUCAAGGCCGUGCAGGAAGCUCAGCCAUUGUGGUGGCCCAUGGACCAUCUGUUGCUGGGUCACCCUUUGCCUUGGCCUGAAGUUCCCUGUAGGCUCAAGUUACUGCUUGUCUCAGGAACCAUUUCCUGCAAGGAGAGGAGGAUCCUUCCUUUGGGGCUCUGCUGCUGGGGCACAUGGAGAAGUGAGAAAUUCCAUGGUAUGGAACAGCUUAAGCUUCUUAAGGAGAAAAGUGGUGGUGUCCUGAGAUGUAACUGACCUACAGGUAAUCCUAAUUCAUUUCUAUUCUGAAACUGUUCAGAUGAAGCCAGGCCUCUGAGCCAAGGGUUUCCCUGGUUAUUUUUUGGAGUCAGUGGAUCUGGGACUGGGGUGGAGUUUGCAGAACAGGAGACACUGAUGGUGAGUUAAUAGAAAUCUGCUGGUGGUUUGCACGUACUUUCUGUACUCUCUUCUAUAGCUGUUUCUUAAAGCAAAUAGGUUCUUUAUUUGUAUAA
rnacentral:lncRNA from 1 species